rnacentral:lncRNA from 1 species
AGUCCUAAGAAGUGAUUUUCUUAGGUUUGUGAAUUUAGAUAUACAACCUGGCAUUUAAAUAUAGUCCAAUCCUCAAAAUACUAUUUAAGACAAAUGUCUGUAACUAGAUAAAACAGUUUACUUGUAGCUGUUUCUAUAUAAAUAGAGAUACACUCCAGAGGCCUCUCUCAAAUGGAUUUUAGUGGGCUAAUUUUGCUCCUAUCACAUUGUUUUUCUUGCCAAAUUGCCUAGUUCUUACAGCAUGUCAGAAUUUUCUUGGCAAAACUGUAAAAAUAUUAUCACUUCAUAUGUGACUAGUGGUCUAUAAUGAACAUUAUGUUUUAUAGAAUAAAGUCAAAUAAUAUGUCCAGAAUGUCUCCUAGAAAAUUUGGAUCAGAAUCAAACUCUUAAGUAUUAGUAUCUGUACCUACGUUUUAAAUUUUUUUGAGAAUUUUAUACAUGAAUAUAUAAUUUCAUUUCUAUGUUUACAUUAUUUCAACCCUUAUCUCUCUCUCUGCUCUAACUUCUUCCAUAUCCCCUCAUUCCUCAAAUUUAGAAUUUUAUGUAUAAAAUUUAUAAAUUUAUCUAUAAAUUCACACACACAUACACACAAUUUGCUGAAUUCAUUUCAUGUUACUAUUAUGUAUGUGUGUUUAGGGCUGACUGCCUGGGAUUCUGUAAUCUAUUGUGGUCUUGUCCCUGGAGAAAAAUAAUUUUUCCCUUAUGUUUCCUAUAAUUCUUCAUCUCAGAAUGGGGCUUUUUGACAUUUACUCCUACCACAUUUGGCCUUUCUUCUUGAAUCUGUAUUUUCUGUCUAAGAGUUCUCCCAAUGUUCAUUUUAUUGGGUACAGGAUAUAAGCUAGUUUAGAUAAAGUGAAUUGUUUGCCCCUAGUCUCCCUUACAUUUCCCAGACAUGUUUUGGAUCACCGUUAAUCUUUAGAAUUUCUUAUGAAAAUAUGAUAGAAGCUGGAAAGAUGUUGACAUGAGAAGAGACAGGUCCAUAUUUCUGUGGAGAUGUAAAAGUUCUGUUUUUCACUUCAUGUAACUAAGCAGAUUGGAAGAGGAGCUGAUGACUUUAAAUUUCUCCUCCCAAGGAAAUUCUGCUCACUCUAAAAAAAGUUUGUCUGGUGGGGGCUUUGACCUGAGAACCACAUCCAUCAGAUAUUCGUAGCAGUUUAAAAAAGAACAUGUGAUACAAUUCAGAUUAGUAUUUACUUAUUCAUUUAGCGAAAUGUUUGGCUCUUUGCUUUUAUUUCUCUGAAUACUACUUUCUUUUAGAAAAAUUGUAACUACCAUCUGCAGUACUGGGAACUAGAGAAGUUAUUAUGACAGAUAUGUCUCAGGUUUGGUUAAGAUUACUGGUAAAUUGAAUGCAUUAGCUUUUAUAAAUUCGGGCAGAUUCUAAACACCUAUAUACUAGCUUUUAAAAUAAAAUGUGUCUCUCAUAAAUGUUGGAAAAUUCUCAAAAAAGAAAAGAGCACAAAAUCUGUUCAGUGUGUUUCUUUGAGAAUUUUUUUAGAAUGUAAAAUCUUAAUUUCAUUUACUUAACUUUGGUUGAAACAGAACCAGUCUCUUUUAUCUCCCCCUCCCUUUUAUCAUUUAUUUUCUGAAUUUUGCAUUCAUUUUUGACCUUGAAGAUACUACAAUGACUGGGUUUAUACUCUGUAUUUCUAUAUGUGAAGGAUUUUUCCUAUAACUUCAGAAAUUACCCUGAAUAGGUGAUUCUCAAAUGACAAUCAUGUUUUUGAUCUGUAGUUCACAUUUCCUAUUCUUUGAUUGACAACACGCAGAAGUUCUCAUGCAUGAGCCAUGUUCUUUUUAAUAUUUUCCAUGUGUUUGAAGCUGAAAUAAAGUGGUAUUUUUUAAAUC